CACAACCUUUUAUUUACACCCCACCACAAAUAUAUUUAUAUCCCAUUUAUUUGUAAUUUUUUUUCUCUAAUUUCCAGCUAGUGGCCCAAUUUUAAAAAUAUUAGAUGAAGGGGAGUUAAACAACAUUGUUCGCUCCACUUUUUUUUAUUAUUCUCAGUCUGCUAGCAUUAUAACUCAUAGGUGCUCAAGCUCUACUUCAGACUGAUCUCCACAUUCAUUUCUUUGCCCUUCAAUCUAUAGAUCAAGGAGCGGCGAUGACUAAAGAUCUAGUGUUUGCUUGUGCGAUCUAGGAUUUGCAAUGGUGAAGUGGAAUUGAGAGAGAAGAGUCUCGUGGCGAUGGCAGCUAGACAGUAAUGGCACGACCACUGACAAUGGUGGUUAGGCGUUGGUGGUGAAAUCAAGAUCGAGAUCGCCAGAGAGAGAAUGGGGCUCACGAUGGUAGCGCUGACUAUAGGUUGGUAGGAGGAAGAAAAAGAUGAAGGAAAUGGGAUUGGGUUGCAACGACAAGAUGGUGGCGUCAGUGGGUGAAAGGGUGGAAAGGGUUUCGGAUGCCGGUAUGUGGGAUUGUUAGCGGCGAGAGUUGCCAGCAAAAAGAAAAAUAAAAGACAAGUUAGGUCCAAAAGAAAAGGAGUAGAGUUGGAAUUAAGGUAGUGGUUCAAAAAAAAAUGGAGGGGAUCCAUUUUGUUAGGUGGAGGUUCAAAGAAGUGGGGGCCGAAAGAACAAAGAUAGGAGUAAAUAGAAACCUUCUUAUUAUUUUGUAAGUCUGAAGUAAAUUUUUUUUCUUACAUAAUUGCCUCUUGUUUUGAUAAAGAGAAAAUUUUUAAACUUUUUAAAAAUAUUUUGUGUUUAUAAAAUGAGUAUUUGAUACU